rnacentral:rRNA from 1 species
UACGUAGGGGGCUAGCGUUGUCCGGAAUCAUUGGGCGUAAAGCGCGUGUAGGUGGUGGGACAAGUCUGCUGUGAAAGCGCCUGGCUUAACCGGGCGAGGUCGGCGGAAACUGUCCGACUAGAGGACGGUAGAGGGGGGUGGAAUUCCCGGUGUAGUGGUGAAAUGCGUAGAGAUCGGGAGGAACACCUGUGGCGAAGGCGGCCCCCUGGGCCGGCCCUGACACUGAGACGCGAAGGCGUGGGGAGCGAACGGG